GCAAGUCGAACGAGAACGGGUUAUAGCUUGCUAUAACUGUCAGCUAAGUGGCGCACGGGUGAGUAAUAUAUAGGUAAUGUGCCCUAGAGAAGAGGAUAACAGUUGGAAACGACUGCUAAUACCCCAUAUGCCUUUAAGUCAUAAGACUGCAAGGGAAUUAUUUAUAGCUCUAGGAUCGGCCUGUACGGUAUCAGUUUGUUGGUGAGGUAAUGGCUCACCAAGACUAUGACGCAUAGCUGGUUUGAGAGGAUGAUC
rnacentral:rRNA from 1 species